rnacentral:rRNA from 1 species
UGCACACUCGUGGCCAAUAUGGCAACAGUAUCCUGGUUACUGAACCGUGUACUAGGUGGGGUGUAAACCUUUGGCCUGCCAAACGAGUAAGAUCACCUGGAGUACGGCCCGCAGGUUGAGACUCCAAGGAAUGACGGGGCCCGCACCAAGCAGUGGAGAUUGGUUAAUUCGAAGCAACGCGAGACCUUACCCAGGGCUGACAUAUACAGGAAUAAAUAAGAGAUAUUAGCUCUUCGGAGUCUGUAUACAGGUGUGCAUGGUUGUCGUCAGCUCGUGUCGUGAGAUGUUAGGUUAAGUCUGCAACGAGCGCAAACCCCUAUACUUAGUGCCAGCAUGUAAAGAUGGGAACUCUGAGUAGACUGCCGGUGAUAAAUCGGAGGAAGGUGGGGACGACGUCAAAUCAUCAUGCCCUUUAUGUCCUGGGCUACACACGUACUACAAUGGCUAUCGCGGAGGGAAGCAAAAUAGUGAUGGGGAGCAAAACCCAAAAAAGUAGUAUCAGUUCGGAUUGAAGUCUGAGAUUCGCCUUCAUGAAGCCGGAAUUGCUAGUAAUGGCAGGUCAGCAUACUGCCGUGAAUACGUUCCCGGGCCUUGUACACACCGCCCGUCACACCAUGAGAGUUGGGGAUACCCGAAGCCCGUGAGCCAACUGUAAAGAGGCAGCGGUCGAAGGUAGAAUCAAAGAUGGGGGAAGUUGUAACAAGGUAUCUGUUCUAGGGGGCGGAUCACCUCCUUUAAC